rnacentral:rRNA from 1 species
AUACAGAGGGUGCAAGCGUUAAACGGAAUUACUGGGCGUAAAGCGUACGUAGGCGGUUUGGUAAGUCAGAUGUGAAAGCCCUGAGCUCAACUUGGGAACUGCAUUUGAAACUGCCUGACUAGAGUGUGAUAGAGGAUAGUGGAAUUUCCGGUGUAGCGGUGAAAUGCGUAGAGAUCGGAAGGAACACCAGUGGCGAAGGCGGCUAUCUGGAUCAACACUGACGCUGAGGUACGAAAGCGUGGGGAGCAAACAGGAUUAGAAACCCCGGUAGUCC